rnacentral:rRNA from 1 species
CAGUCGCCGCGGGAAUACGUAGGGUGCAAGCGUUAAUCGGAAUUACUGGGCGUAAAGCGUGCGCAGGCGGUUUUGUAAGACAGAGGUGAAAUCCCCGGGCUCAACCUGGGAACUGCCUUUGUGACUGCAAGGCUAGAGUACGGCAGAGGGGGAUGGAAUUCCGCGUGUAGCAGUGAAAUGCGUAGAUAUGCGGAGGAACACCGAUGGCGAAGGCAAUCCCCUGGGCCUGUACUGACGCUCAUGCACGAAAGCGUGGGGAGCAAACAGGAUUAGAUACCCCUGUAGUCCCUGUCUCUUAUAU